AGAGUUUGAUCCUGGCUUAGGAUGAACGCUGGCGGCGUGCUUAACACAUGCAAGUCGAACGAAGCAACUAUCUUGCUUGCAAGAGAGUUGACUUAGUGGCGGACGGGUGAGUAACGCGUGGGUAACCUGCCUCAUACAGGGGGAUAACAGUUGGAAACGACUGCUAAGACCGCAUAACCCGCUAGUGUCGCAUGACACGGACGGAAAAUAUUUAUAGGUAUGAGAUGGGCCCGCGUCUGAUUAGCUAGUUGGUAAGGUAACGGCUUACCAAGGCGACGAUCAGUAGCCGACUUGAGAGAGUGAUCGGCCACAUUGGGACUGAGACACGGCCCAAACUCCUACGGGAGGCAGCAGUGGGGAAUAUUGGACAAUGGGGGAAACCCUGAUCCAGCCGACGCCGCGUGAGUGAAGAAGUAUUUCGGUAUGUAAAGCUCUAUCAGCAGGGAAGAUAAUGACAGUACCUGACUAAGAAGCCCCGGCUAACUACGUGCCAGCCGCGGC
rnacentral:rRNA from 1 species